rnacentral:tRNA from 1 species
CUCAUAUGUGGUUCCUGUAUGUUUUAUAUAUCUAAAUAUAAGUUCAUGUAUAAAGAGUGUGAUGAGACCUCAUAAGGUCAAAAUUAACCACACAGUCAAUAUAAUUCCUGGACAUCAUUGUUUCAAGGGCAAAGUACAUGUUAUACUGUAAUAAAUAAAUCAUGUAGGCUAGCUAAAUAGGUGAAGUUAUGCUAAACUGAAUAGUCGUAGUAACUGAGCUUUGGUGAUUGUGAAAGACCCCCAUGGGGUGGGACCCUGGGGUGAACACUCAGGAAUGCAGCUACCCCAGUCACCAAGCAGAGCCUAGAACCUGAUGCAAACAACAAGAGGCUAUAUUAUUCAGUAACUGGCGCCAGGACCCAGUUACUGAAUAAUAUAGGAGCAGAGCAGAGGAGCAGAAGAGCAGAGGAGCAGAGGAGCAGAGGAGCUGGACCCCGAGCUGGGGGCUUCUUAAAGGCAAAGACUGCAAACAGAUGGGGUCUGGGGUGAGCGAGGGUAACAGUUCUGAUUGGCUCCUUUCAGGUGGCUGACUGCAGUCUGCAAAGAAAACAUCUUAGGCUGGGGUCCUUUAGUUGAAGACCACAAUUUACAGAGUUUCUAUGGUUACUUAAGGUCAUACAAAGUACAGAGUUAGUAACUAUACAUUUUAAGGGAGAUACAUUUGACUGAGAUAAGACAGGGCAUGGGGUUGCGGGGAGGGGGGGGUGUUACAGGGUCUGUCAAUUAUCCCCUGGGCUGUGGAAUCUUUACAACCAGAGGGCACCUUUACAACCAGCAAGUAGCAAAGGAAUGUUAACAGGAGUGGUGGGCAGUCACCUCUCCUUCUCUGAGAGCAGGGCUCAGGCACCAGCCAUGGCAUUCCCAGCCAUCAGAAGCUACUCCUCUCUCUUCCCUUGAGAGCCCAAGUCUUUCCAACCUUCACCAAAUUUUGAUCCUUCCUUGUUAAUUUUUAUUGUUUUCUUUUGAGACAGGGUUAUCUUUGAGACAUGGAACACAUUCUGUAGACCAAGCUGGCCUCCAACUCAAGAGAUCCUCCUGCCUCUGCCUCCCAAGUGCUGGGAUUAAAGGCAUGCAGCACCAUCCCCAGGCCACUGAUAGUUAAUUUUAUCUAUCAAUUAAACUAGACUCUAAGAUGCACUGAUAUUUAGGUAAGCAUUUCUGGAUUCAUUUACCAUCGGAGUCAGUAGAUUGAACAAACCACACUGUGCUCCCCACAGUAGAUGAACCUCAGCAAACUCUUGAAGCCUGAAUAAAAUAAAGAUCAAGAAAGAAGUUCUCUCUGCUUGACUAUCCUUGAGCUGGGAAAUCAAUCUUUUCACUGUGGACUUGAACUGGGAUGGGAAUGAUUCCAUCAGUUCUCCUGUAUCUCCACCUAGCCUACUGCAGAUUUUGAACUCAGUCUGUGUGCUGUGACAAUUCCUCACAGUGAGUCUGAAUCUGUGUGUGUACAUAUGUGAGCAUGUGUGUGCAUUGUGUGUGUGUGUGACAUGGGAAUGAGAGCACAUACAUGCCAAGGUGACAGUGCGGAGGUCAAAGAACAACUUGUUGAGUCAGAUCUCUCUUGCUUCUGUUGCGAGCUGGCCUGUUGUGGAAUAUUUAACCAUGUAAAGAUUUGUUACAUUUGUUUAUGCUGUGGAUAUCACUUUAACUGUGUAAAGGUGUGUUACCUUUGUUUAAUUGCUUAAGGAUGUGUUGCAUUUGUUUCACCUAGCCUGCCUGAGGCACCUGAUUGGUCUAAUAAAAAGCCUGAAUGUCCAACAGCUAGGGGGGAGAGGAUAAGUGGGACUGGCAGGCAGAAAGAAUUAGUAGGAGGCGAAAUCAAGGCUCAAGGCUGAGAAAGAGAAGGAUGUGCUUGGGGUAGAAGUCAGGCCCCAGUCAAACAGACACAGGAGCAGUGACAAGAGACAGAGAUUACCCAUCUUUCCCAAGAACCAGCUUUGUUGAGUUAAAAAUUGUUUUGUUUUUCAGUUUUCACAGGUAUUGGUUUCAGGUCUUUUGUCUCCAUGCCUUUCUUUCCGAUCUUGUACUCAGGGACAUAGCCUGUUGGUCUCUCAUUCUGACCUUUAAAACCUGACAAAUGCCCCUAAGUCAUUGCUCUCCCACAGGACUGCUGACAAACCAGCCUGCCCCCAACUUGGGGUUAAAAGCCGGUUUAUAAUAAAGACAAACUAGGUUCUUUGCUGUUUAUGACUAAAUCUCUGUUUUUCAAGGAUUAAGCUGUGACCACUUGUAACCUUAAUUACAAAUAGUUCUGCACUGCCGCCUCCAGGAAAAGACAUCGGGCCUUUGUUUCAGGACGUUUUUUUAUGACCAACUUGUUUGCUUAUAUUCUGCUUCUGACACACACACACACUUGCUUCAAUUGGCUAUUUAGGUUGGUGGACUUUCUCCAAGUGCUGUAGGAUUUACACUGUCAAAUCACCAAGGUGUAGUUGGAUACUAUUCAUUAGGUAGUGAAACAAACAAACAAACAAACAAGAAACAGGCCAGAAAUGGUGGGAAUCUCUGUCUGCCAAGUGCUAGAGCUAUUCAAGGAGCGGAUGACAGGGAGAGAAUGGCGUCUUAGGUUCUCGCUGCUGGACGCGCUCAUCCUCGGAAAAACUCCAGGACAACGGCGUCUGCAGUUUGCACCGUGUCCUACUCCGCGCGAAGGAACCCCGGCAGCCUCCCGGGGUCCACAGUCAUAGGCCGCCCCCGUUCCGCUUGGUUUGGACCUCGAGACCCGACGAUUCCUCCGGCGAUGGGAGCCCGAGAGUCAGCGGGGAUGUGUGGUGCAAGCAUGUGGCCGCUUCGUUAUGGAACGGGAAACAUUCGUGACAUUCGGGACCUCAGGCCAGAGCGGGAGUCCCUCGAUACGGUAUCGCAAGGAGGAGGACGCGCGGUCCCUCCGCGAGGGGUUCCUUCGGUGCCCGCCCGGGGUCCGUCAGGGCCGCAGUCUUCCUGCUCGGGAAAAACUGGCAGGCUUCUGGCUCACGCUUCCACUGGCGAACACUUUGCUGCUAUAGAACUCGGACACGCAGUGGCUGGAGAUUUGCGAGCAGCCAGAGUUGCACUCACUGGAUACAACACAAGACUUUCCUAGUGACAAAUCCACCAGGGACUUCGUCAGCUUGUUCUCUAAGCCCUUAGCAGUAUUCCGUAUGUUCCAAGCUCUCUGGACAGGACCUUGUUAGCUAUCCCACCAGUUACAGUCGCUCAAAAAAAACGGCUUUCUGGGCGGAGGUGGAGCACGCUUUAGUCACUACACUCGGGAAGCAGAGGAAUUCGGAGCUCCUUGAGCUGGAGGACCAACCUGGUCUACAAGGCGCGUCCCAGACCAGUGAGGGCUACACAGUGAGACCUGUCUCAACAACAGAACAGGACGAUUAUUUUCUAAAAGAGACAAACAUGGAAGAGGCAGGAAGAGAGGGAGUGGAAAGGGAAUGUGGAGGUUAAGGAGCACUACAGAGGUCCUGCUCCCCGCUGGGAUCCAUCAGGCUUCCUGCUGUGAGUGAGCUGGAGACCAAGACACUGCAGCCCGCGCCCUUCUCCUCUGCGUUAGAUCCAGAAUCCCACCUCCUUCACCUCCACCUAAAUCCCUCCCGGCUGACCCGCGUCCAGGGUCUGAAAACCAAGAGACUCCUGAGGUCCAUUCGCCUUGAUCUCACCCUGAGCACAGCCGCGGACGCCUUGAUCUCACCCUGAGCACAGCCGCGGACGCCUUGAUCUCACCCUGAGCACAGCCGCGGACGCCUUGAUCUCACCCUGAGCACAGCCGCGGACGCCUUGAUCUCACCCUGAGCACAGCCGCGGAGCAGGCUGACUGGAGCCCACGAUACUAAGUCCCAAUGCAAUAUAUAAUCUUUUGUCAUCCUCAGAAGUUGGAAAGCUGAAGCAAUGUCUGUCCCAGGAAUGAAGAUUGUGUGGCAGAUUCCUAAGGCCUUCUGGUCUCUCAGUAUGCUUACUUAUUUAAAAGGACAAUUCUCUGCUUUUGAAUAUGUCUUGUAGGUUUUUCUGUGCCUGUGAAGGAACAAAAGUUGCUAUCUUUAGUUCAAAUCUGGAAGUCAUAUGGAUUCCUAGUGCAAACGAAGUAUGGAACAUACUUGGAAAAGUUGAAAUAACAGAAGAUAAGGCCGGCUAGGUGCCAGAAAAAUCAGGCCAAGAGGACACAAAACUGAGUUUCUGUCUUGUCUACUUGCAAAUAAACUUGACUUGAGUCAUCAUUAUUAUUGCAACAGGGUCUUAUAAUGUAGCUCAGGCUGAUUCCAACUGGAGAGCUGCCCAACUGAAAUGCCUGACCUGGGAUUCCAGAACACAUAGCCACAUCUCUCAGCCAAAUACACUGACUCUGAACAGCUUGCCAAAUCCUAUCACUUCCAUGGUAACAGCUGCAGUUUUCAGUGGAGAGGAAGGACCCAGUCCUAAAGCAUUUCCAGAAUUCAUCCUGCCAAGAGCUGCCUUAUGUCCACGCUUUAUAUAGGAUUGGUUCCUGUUGUCAAAGACAAACAACCUAAAUUCUUUUUGUUUGUUCAUUUUGGUUUUUGUGAUAGAGUUUUACUAUGUAGCCCUGACUAAUCUUAUAAACCAGGCUGAUCUCGAAAGCUCUGCCUUCCUGUCUUCUGAGUGCUGGGAUAAAAGGCAGGAGCUCAGCCCCAAUCUAAAUGUUUAACAAUCCACUGGUGUAAUCUUUUCCAUUCGAAGCCUAGGGCACAAGAGCACACUGGAGCCUGCCUAAAAGUGUGUUGCCUCAGUGGCAACUAUUAUCUGCUCUAAAUAAACUCCUUUACUACUUAAAGAAUUUGUGCCUCUUUCUCUCACAAAGAUCUACUCAUACAAAGAAUCAUGACCACAUUCAGCACAUUAGAAGAUGCAAGAUGAUGCUCAGAUGUUUAUCAACUGAGUUAUUAUACUUCUGGCAUUAUGUGACACACACACUUCUAUUAACAUCUAGUGGCCCUGAGAAGUUCCACAGCAGGACACCAAUAGCUACGGCUGGCACAACCAGGGGGAGAGAGACUCUGUCUUCAGCCAAGUGAAUUAAAUUAAAUUAAAUCAUAAUUUAAUCCUUACUGUUGCCACCACAUGCUUCUGGAAAAUGGAUAAUCAGUCCUACAUCCAUCUGGUUCCAGUUUCCUGAAAUGGCGUGGACCACACGGUGACCAUUGCAUUGCUGCUCGACAAAGUUCCAGCAUUUCCACAUUGCAGAGCACGCUUCUCCAGCACCUUUUAAGCCUUCAUUUUCAUUGAUGCUCAAUAUUAAUGCCUUUCAAUUUGGUCAGUUUUGUGUGGGUUCAGUCAGGUGUCUGCCUCCCUGAGAUCUGAAGACACAGUGGAAGCUUGCACCCUGGGAGAAUGAAGUGUUUGUUCCUUGAUGACAUGAGGAAGCUCUGCCCCACGACUCCUGAAGUCUUCUAGACUCGAGCCUAGACAUAUAUUCAUUUGUCAUAUUUUUUAAAGCCGGAUCUCAUUGAAGGCAGCCAAGGCAGGAAGUGAAGCAGGGGCUGUGGAAGACCACUGCUUACUCUUGGUGCCCAGGACUUGCUCGGCCUGCCUGCUUUUCAUUCUUUUCACUUCUUUGAGACAGGGUCUCACUGUGUAGACCCAGCUGUCCUGGAACCCACAACCUCACAGCUCACAGACUCACCUUCCUCUGCCUUCAGAGUGCUAGCAUGAAAGGUUCCCACUCGCUCCUCCUCCCUGAGCGCCAGUACCGCACCCGGACCCCUCAGCUUUUCCAGCGAUCGCAGACCAGGCAGAGAGCGGCUCCAAGGCUCCAGUCCACAGCCCCACCCCAGCCCCAAACCAGGCCUUCACGCGUGAGUACCCUGGAUCUGCGAAGGCCUAGACCCGAAAACUCCCGCGGUUUCCUUCGCCGAGUCCUGUUGGGGGUCCCGGUCGCGCCGCUGUCGUCGUGGAGCCCCUGGCAGCUCGGUGAGUCCCCUGUGGUGUCUCAACGCUUAGGAGGAAGCGAGGGGCGCAUCACGUCUGCGAGACUAGUUAUCAUUGGAUCCUUAGUUACAGUUUCUUCCUAAAUAGAGUUAUUCCUGGCUGACAUCCGGAGUUUGUGUUGAAUCGCUGAGCAGUUUUUUCGUUUUUGUUUUGGUUUAUUUGUUUUGGUUUUGGUUUUGGUCUCCCUGUAACCCUGGCUGGCUUAGAACUCACCAUGCUGACCAGGUUAACUGAGAACCAGACAGCCUCCUCUUGGGCUUCUCCGCUGGCAUCAAAGCUUUGGGUGCGCCACCACGCCCCACCACUUCCUCAUCAUUCUCUUAAAAACAAUUCUAUGGAAGAGAACACAGAAUGGAGACAGAAGAGGCAAAAGAAAUGGAAAUAGAAAGGAAAAGCGAAGGAACGCAACCGGGGGUGCGGUGACAAGACCCUGUCUUUAAAAAGAAAGAAAACAAAAAUCUUAAAGGAAGAGUCCGGGAAACGCGGUCACAAACGUAGAGGCGGUUUCCACCUGCAGCUUCCCACUAUCCCGGAAAUCUACAUGGCUUCCCGCUAUGAGUGAGCUGGAGACCAAGACGCAGCAGCCCGCGCCCUUCUCCUCUGCGUUAGAUCCAGAAUCCCACCUCCUUCACCUCCACCUAAAUCCCUCCCGGCUGACCCGCGUCCAGGGUCUGAAAACCAAGAGAGUCUUCCUCCUGAGGUCCAUUCGCCUUGAUCUCACCCUGAGCACAGCCGCGGAGCAGGCUGACUGGAGCCCACGGUGAGAGGAGCGAUCCCAAUCCGUCCCUGGAGGUCUUCGGAUCGUGCGCGCUGUAGUGCUGGAGGUGACGGGGUGGGGGUGGGUGCUCCCUGUCAAACCGACAGUUUACCCACGAGGAACCCGAAACUCGGAGGGAGAGAUGUGUCAUCCUGGCGCACUUGGUGCGAAGGCCGGAGCGGAAUGGAUUCCGUAUGCGCUCCGCUGUCUGCUGGUUUCACCCGGGCAGUGGAUGGGAGAGAUGACGAUGGUGGGCUCCAUGCCUGGCCUGUCGGCUUUGGAAAGCGAGUCAAGUGUCCUCUGUGGAGUUUGCUUCAAGUGGUCGAUCGAGGGACUCAUAUGUCUCCCUGGUGGUCUAGUGGCUAGGAUUCGGCGCUUUCACCGCCGCGGCCCGGGUUCGAUUCCCGGUCAGGCAAAGUCCUUUUAGCAGCCUCUCUCCUCCCCCUGGUCUUCCUUUGGCCGACUUUUAAAUAGUCCUGUGAGGCACAAGAGCCCUCUCCUUGACUCACAAGACCCCAGAGACAGGGCUUCCAACAGGCAAGUUCUUCUGGGCUCUCCCAGAGAGUGGUCUUUGUUGAGUUUGAGAUAAAGGAGUUGAGAGAGGGGAAAUGGGUGACAUUAGUUCCAAUGUUCCUUUUCAAACAAAGAAGGAAAACAAAACCUCAGAAACAUACAGUGACUUUAUUCUUCCCAGAAACUCCCAAUUUAGCACCUUUCCACCUUGGAAUCUAUUCCAUUUUACCUAUUUACCCAUCAUUGGAGAGUAAUUCCCACACGCCAAGAUCUCUUGGUUGAGCUUUAGUGGCCCCUUUCCUUUAAGGCCAGGGGAUGGCUUUAUCCUCCUAGAGAAGCCCCUCUUGUCCCUCAGAACUCUACACUCACACUCUUAGAGAAGCUUCAGGUAGAAGUCACUUGGGUUUUCCUGUACAGUCCAGACCCUGCUUUUCCAGUGAAGCUCAAAAUAGCUAAAAAGUCAGGGUUUCUAUUGCUCUGAUGAAACACCAUGACCAAAGCAACUUGAGGAGGGAAAGGCUUUAUUCGGCUUACACUUCCACGUCAUAGUCUGUCCUUGAAGGAAGUCAGGGCUCAAACUGGGCAGGAACCUGGAGGCAGGAUCUGAUGCAGAGGCCACGGAGGGGUGCUGCACACUGGCUUGCUCCCCUGGCUUGAUCAGCGUGUUUUCUUAUAGAAUCCAGGACCGGCAGCCCAGAGAUGGCACCACCCACAAAGGACUGGACCCUCCUCCAUCAAUCACUAAUUAAGAAAAUGCCAUACAGGUUCUUACUAUUUAGCCCUGGCUGACCUGGAAGCUAUUCAAACACAAACUCAGAGAUCCACCUGCGGCUGCUUCACAAGUAGUUGGACAUAAGACCUAUGCCACUAUAUAUAAUCUAAGUAUU